rnacentral:rRNA from 1 species
UGAAUACGAGACGCUAAGGCGUCGAAGUAGUGUAUGUCAUACUUCCAAGAAAAGCUUGCACUGUCAUAAGUAAAAAAUGCCUGUACCAUAACCGACACAGGUGGGUAGGUAGAGUAUACUAAGGGGCGCGAGAUAACUCUCUCUAAGGAACUCGGCAAAAUAACUCCGUAACUUCGGGAGAAGGAGUACCUUAUUCUAUAAGGUUGCAAUAACAAGAUCCAAGCAACUGUUUAUCAAAAACACAGGUCUCCGCUAAGUCGUAAGACGAUGUAUGGGGGCUGACGCCUGCCCAGUGCCAGAAGGUUAAAGAAGUCGGUUAGCAUUAGCGAAGCUGGUAACUGAAGCCCUGGUGAACGGCGGCCGUAACAAUAACGGUCCUAAGGUAGCGAAAUUCCUUGUCGGGUAAGUUCCGACCCGCACGAAAGGCGUAAUGAUUUGGAUACUGUCUCGGAGAGGGGCUCGGUGAAAUAGACUUGUCUGUGAAGAUGCGGACUACCUGCACCAGGACAGAAAGACCCUAUGAAGCUUUACUGUAACUUGAAAUUGAAAUUGGACUUUAUUCGCGCAGUAUAGGUGGGAGGUGUGAUUAUAAUCUUGCGGGAUUAUUGGAGCCAUCAGUGAGAUACCACUCUUGUAAUGUUAGAUUUCUAACUUUGAAUCAUUAUCUGGUCAAAGGACAGUUUCAGGCGGGCAGUUUGACUGGGGCGGUCGCCUCCCAAACGGUAACGGAGGCGUACAAAGGUUUCCUCUGAACGGGUAGAAAUCGUAUCUAGAGUGUAAAGGCAUAAGGAAGCUUGACUGUGAGACCUACAAGUCGAACAGGGACGAAAGUCGGUCUUAGUGAUCUGACGGUACUGAGUGGAAAGGCCGUCACUCAACGGAUAAAAGUUACUCUAGGAUAACAGGCUGAUCUCCCCCAAGAGUUCACAUCGACGGGGAGGUUUGGCACCUCGAUGUCGGCUCAUCGCAUCCUGGGGCGGUAGUACGUCCCAAGGGUUGGGCUGUUCGCCCAUGGAAGCGGUACGCGAGCUGGGUUCAGAACGUCGUGAGACAGUUCGGUCCAUAUCCGGUGUAGGCGUUAGAAUAUUGAGAGGAGCCUUCUUUAGUACGAGAGGACCGAGAAGGACAUACCUCCGGUGUACCAGUUAUCGUGCCAACGGUAAACGCUGGGUAGCUAUGUAUGGAGUGGAUAACCGCUGAAAGCAUCUAAGUGGGAAGCCCACCUCAAGAUAAGUAUUC